rnacentral:rRNA from 1 species
UACAGAGGUCUCAAGCGUUGUCCGGAAUUAUUGGGCGUAAAGAGCGUGUAGGCGGCCAGGUAGGUCUGCUGUGAAAACUCGAGGCUCAACCUCGAGACGUCGGCGGAAACCAUCUGGCUAGAGUCCGGAAGAGGAGAGUGGAAUUCCUGGUGUAGCGGUGAAAUGCGCAGAUAUCAGGAAGAACACCCGUGGCGAAGGCGGCUCUCUGGGACGGUACUGACGCUGAGACGCGAAAGCGUGGGGAGCGAACAGG